rnacentral:sRNA from 1 species
CCGCUACAGUGUGCUCCGCAGCACAUCUC